rnacentral:lncRNA from 1 species
GAUGCUUUGACAAGGUAUGGUGACUAAAGCAGCUUCAAGGAGAGAAUUAGCUCAGGGUAACUGCCUGUGGCAAUAUUUGAAUGUUAUGCCUAUGGUUAGCUCUAUUUUCACAAUUGGAUUAUUUUUAUAUCUUAAUACAUUACUUCUAUCAGGUCAUUUGAUCAGAAAUUAAAAUCCUCUUAGAAUCCUGUGUUUAAGGUACUCAAUAAGUAUAAUGUUCUACUUUUUUUCUGUAAAUUAAACUUAGUGUUGUAAUUUAGCAUAUAAAGUUAUUUAUCAUGAACUAUCAUGAUAAAAGAGAUCUCUUCCUGGACAGUCAGAAUCAAGUAGUUGGAAAAGCUUUAUAAACAAUCUUCAUUAUUAAUGAAAUCGUUUGUUGAUUUAAAUGUGUCUUUAUGCUUUGUCAGAUGUCUGAUUCAGGAAUGCAUCUUAGCAUGCUGUAAAACCUG